GGGAGGCGCAGCUACACAUGCAGUCGAGCGGUAGCACAGAGAGCUUGCUCUCGGGUGACGAGCGGCGGACGGGUGAGUAAUGUCUGGGAAACUGCCUGAUGGAGGGGGAUAACUACUGGAAACGGUAGCUAAUACCGCAUAAUGUCGCAAGACCAAAGUGGGGGACCUUCGGGCCUCAUGCCAUCAGAUGUGCCCAGAUGGGAUUAGCUAGUAGGUGGGGUAACGGCUCACCUAGGCGACGAUCCCUAGCUGGUCUGAGAGGAUGACCAGCCACACUGGAACUGAGACACGGUCCAGACUCCUACGGGAGGCAGCAGUGGGGAAUAUUGCACAAUGGGCGCAAGCCUGAUGCAGCCAUGCCGCGUGUGUGAAGAAGGCCUUCGGGUUGUAAAGCACUUUCAGCGGGGAGGAAGGCGGUGAGGUUAAUAACCUUGUCGAUUGACGUUACCCGCAGAAGAAGCACCGGCUAACUCCGUGCCAGCAGCCGCGGUAAUACGGAGGGUGCAAGCGUUAAUCGGAAUUACUGGGCGUAAAGCGCACGCAGGCGGUCUGUCAAGUCGGAUGUGAAAUCCCCGGGCUCAACCUGGGAACUGCAUUCGAAACUGGCAGGCUAGAGUCUUGUAGAGGGGGGUAGAAUUCCAGGUGUAGCGGUGAAAUGCGUAGAGAUCUGGAGGAAUACCGGUGGCGAAGGCGGCCCCCUGGACAAAGACUGACGCUCAGGUGCGAAAGCGUGGGGAGCAAACAGGAUUAGAUACCCUGGUAGUCCACGCCGUAAACGAUGUCGAUUUGGAGGUUGUGCCCUUGAGGCGUGGCUUCCGGAGCUAACGCGUUAAAUCGACCGCCUGGGGAGUACGGCCGCAAGGUUAAAACUCAAAUGAAUUGACGGGGGCCCGCACAAGCGGUGGAGCAUGUGGUUUAAUUCGAUGCAACGCGAAGAACCUUACCUGGUCUUGACAUCCACAGAACUUUCCAGAGAUGGAUUGGUGCCUUCGGGAACUGUGAGACAGGUGCUGCAUGGCUGUCGUCAGCUCGUGUUGUGAAAUGUUGGGUUAAGUCCCGCAACGAGCGCAACCCUUAUCCUUUGUUGCCAGCGGUCCGGCCGGGAACUCAAAGGAGACUGCCAGUGAUAAACUGGAGGAAGGUGGGGAUGACGUCAAGUCAUCAUGGCCCUUACGACCAGGGCUACACACGUGCUACAAUGGCAUAUACAAAGAGAAGCGACCUCGCGAGAGCAAGCGGACCUCAUAAAGUAUGUCGUAGUCCGGAUUGGAGUCUGCAACUCGACUCCAUGAAGUCGGAAUCGCUAGUAAUCGUAGAUCAGAAUGCUACGGUGAAUACGUUCCCGGGCCUUGUACACACCGCCCGUCACACCAUGGGAGUGGGUUGCAAAAGAAGUAGGUAGCUUAACCUUCGGGAGGGCGCUACCACUUUUGAUCGUUGCG
rnacentral:rRNA from 1 species